GAGAUAUGAAUUUUAAAAUUCACUAUAUCCGAUGUUCACCAUGAACACACAUAAAGAUGUUUUUAAUAAUGCCAUUAUUGAUAUAGCCGAAGCAUAAGCUUGCAGUUUUCUAAUGUGUCCAAAACACUGUUAUUUUUAGAUAAUUUCUUUGUAUCGGUCUGUCGAAUUUCAAUGUCAAAAGACACAAGUUUGUAGUGUUUUGAAAUGUAAUGAAAAUGGAAACAUCCAUUUAGAAAUUUUAAUGUUACCUUUACUGGACGUGUUAUGGUUAGCUCAAGGUGAUAUAUGUAAAAGCAUAGUAUGUUCCCUUACAACGCAAUAGCCUUACCAUACAACUUUUGUCUGAAACAUUUCUUCGUAUCGUGAAAAAUAAGAGAGUAACUAAAAGUGACAGAGUUAGGUUAGAAACUAUACUAAAAACUCGUCAAAUGGAUUCUGACAAAAUCAAGAAAAGAAGCAUCCUAUGUACGUCGUCUGAAAUGGCAAGUGAGACGUGGCAAUAAAUAUUUUAAUCGAUCAUGAAUAAGAACGUUAAAUCAACGUAUUUACGAAAGUAUCGAUUAUACGAAAUGUCCUAGUCGUCCUACAAGAAUAGAUUCAACGGCGUUCAAUGGGAAACUGAAUUAUUCACUGAGACGCUUCUGAAUCUGAAUUUUAUUAAAUCACGUCCGCGAGAUUUACGAGCCCGGCUCCCUUAGGAAAGCACGAUUGUUUGAUCACGUAAAACGUUUCUUAGUUUUCUGUUCUGUUUGCCUGCCUUUAAUGUCGCUAAUACUGACAAGAACGACCAUAAGCUGUCCAUUUAACAGAUCAACGAAAUAUUAAUUACUUGUCACUUAUGCAUAGGUUUGGUAAUAGGUCUUGUUGCUAAUAGAAAUCAAUAACUCUUUGAUAAUUUUAAGAAACGUGAAUAUGAUAAUUGUUUUUGAUCUUUUUAUGAAGAAUUGAUAAUCACUCUGAAUUUUAAAGAGGAAAAAUUUUAAUUAUUUAAUACUUUUAGAUAAUAGACAUCUAAUAGUUUUUAUAUUUAUUGUUUAUUAUAUUUAUAUGUAAUUAUAUGAUAAUUACUGAUAUAUUUUUUUUAACGAUAAACGUGAUUUUUGGGUAGUUUCGUUAUAUUUCAAUGGUAUGAAAAGAAGACGUAAGAAUAAAAAUCGUGAAACAUUUAUCUUAUCAGGCAAAAUGUCGUAAUUGAAUUUCACUUUCUUUUCCUUGUGGCUAUCAAUUUACGUCAUUAGUGUGUAAUCGCAUAAAAUUGAUUCUGAGGUGAAAUUCAUGGUACUAUCUUCUUUCUCUAAGAAUUUAUUAUAAAAAGAAAAUUUAGGUAAUUUCCAUAUCUCUAAAUAAAUGUUAUAAUUAAUUUUGUUUGAUUCUGAUUUAAAGGAAUUAUUUACGUGUCUUUGAAAAUUUCUAUUUAAAAAAAAGAAAAACGUUUUUUCACAGAAAGAAGGAAGAAAUUACUAUAUUUUAAAAUAAUUCAGUUGGGCUAAAAAAGAAACGAA
rnacentral:misc_RNA from 1 species